AGUGAACGCUGGCGGUAGGCCUAACACAUGCAAGUCGAACGGCAGCACAGUAAGAGCUUGCUCUUACGGGUGGCGAGUGGCGGACGGGUGAGGAAUACAUCGGAAUCUACUUUUUCGUGGGGGAUAACGUAGGGAAACUUACGCUAAUACCGCAUACGACCUACGGGUGAAAGCAGGGGAUCUUCGGACCUUGCGCGAUUGAAUGAGCCGAUGUCGGAUUAGCUAGUUGGCGGGGUAAAGGCCACCAAGGCGACGAUCCGUAGCUGGUCUGAGAGGAUGAUCAGCCACACUGGAACUGAGACACGGUCCAGACUCCUACGGGAGGCAGCAGUGGGGAAUAUUGGACAAUGGGCGCAAGCCUGAUCCGGCCAUACCGCGUGGGUGAAGAAGGCCUUCGGGUUGUAAAGCCCUUUUGUUGGGAAAGAAAAGCAGCAGGUUAAUACCCCGCUGUUCUGACGGUACCCAAAGAAUAAGCACCGGCUAACUUCGUG
rnacentral:rRNA from 1 species